GAUGAACGCUGCGGCGUGCCUAAUACAUGCAAGUCGAGCGAACAGACGAGGAGCUUGCUCCUCUGACGUUAGCGGCGGACGGGUGAGUAACACGUGGAUAACCUACCUAUAAGACUGGGAUAACUUCGGGAAACCGGAGCUAAUACCGGAUAAUAUAUUGAACCGCAUGGUUCAAUAGUGAAAGACGGUUUUGCUGUCACUUAUAGAUGGAUCCGCGCCGCAUUAGCUAGUUGGUAAGGUAACGGCUUACCAAGGCGACGAUGCGUAGCCGACCUGAGAGGGUGAUCGGCCACACUGGAACUGAGACACGGUCCAGACUCCUACGGGAGGCAGCAGUAGGGAAUCUUCCGCAAUGGGCGAAAGCCUGACGGAGCAACGCCGCGUGAGUGAUGAAGGUCUUCGGAUCGUAAAACUCUGUUAUUAGGGAAGAACAAAUGUGUAAGUAACUAUGCACGUCUUGACGGUACCUAAUCAGAAAGCCACGGCUAACUACGUG
rnacentral:rRNA from 1 species